ACCAAAGUCAUGUCACAGAAUUCUCAUUGGAAAUCAUGCACUGGCAGCAGGACUUGGUAAGGAAAGUAUUGGUGAGAGACAUGCAUGACAACUGCUGCCACAAUUCCACAGUUCAUGUGAAUGGAGGCUGCUCUGCCCCCCACCUCACCCACAAGCAGGUCAACGAGAAGAGAUGGGAGCCAGACUAGCCCUAGAGAUGCUCUCCUGAGCACCACACUGCCCUAUCCUUGGGAAAGCUUUUCAACAACCAGGAUGGUUGCUUUUCUCUGAAGUAGCUCCCUUACCUGAGAGGUGAAUAUUAUAUAAUCUCUGAUACCCAAAGCAAAACUGUCACUGUGUACAAUUCUGCUGAGCAUCCUACAGACUGCCUUCCCCUCUCUGAGUGCAUCUGUCCAGCAUCAAUUCCAGCCAGUAUGGUGAGGAGGUUCAAGGUCACCUGCUUUCUCUCGGGAUAAACUGGCAUGAUUCACCUCCAAGCGAGGCUAAGAGGUAGCUCACAGAAAUGGCCCAGGCUUUGAGGGUGGUUUGACAAUUUGAGGACUAAUUGGAACCAGUCGGUGGAUCCUAGAUGCAAGGUGAGCUUGGCCUGCAAGUCUACUAUGGGACAGUAUCUAGGAAGACCAUCACAAUGACAGUAGACAGUACAUCCCUUUGGAUUGUUAACUUGUGUAUCCAUCUUUCUUGACAAAUAGGGUACUCCCUUAAGGACAGACACUUGGUCGGUUUAUCUGUAUGUCCCUAAUGCUUCAUCUGGUACCUUCGCAAGGCAAGUGAUUAGAUACUGAAGGCACGGGUGAGAGUCAGUGUGAGAGUCUGCCACCUCUCCAUGGACAGCGUGAUAUAAAUUUAUCUCAUUGAACCUCUUAACAUAGUGAUAAACAGCAUCAGACCUUCAUUGUGUGUCAAUUCACUAGCUACCUGACUGACAGGCAGUUUGUACUGGAACCUGCUUAACUCACUCUCCCAGCAUCCAAGGGAAAGGGAAAAACGUAAGAAAUACAUAUGAACCACUGGUCCUUUCCUUUCCACACCUAUGUAAACUGUGUUCCUCAGAAAACAAUUACAGAAUUAUUUCAUGAGCCAGUUACCUCCUAGGACUCUGAGUACCCCAGAGAUAACAGUACAUUUGUCUGUGGAUGUGGAGAUGCGUUUGAGAAUGGGAAGUUCCCGGGAGCUUCUUAAAGAUUCCUCUGCUUCAGGGAGAGGAGAGGUUAAACAGGACCCACUCUGACAGUAUACAGGGAUUAAGGGAAAAGGUCUCCUGUUGUUGUCUAGCGGGCAAUUUGAGGCUGGCCAGAAUUGGCAGAACUCUCUCUCCAAAGACACAUUUCUCUACUUCUUUCAGACACAGAUCAUUUUCAGCCUGGAAGUAAGGAUAAGGCUAGAAUUUUUCCUGUCCUGUAAUUACAGUAGUCGUGAGACUGUGCCUGGUGACUGUAACAGUUGAACUGAUGGUGUCUGCACUGUUAGGCUGUGACCAACACUACGCUUGUGCCUCAUCUUCCAUUGGCUGCCACCAGACAAUUACUGAGCAAGUAGUGAAGCAAAGACAGGCCUAUCCCCAGAGACAAUGCCCUGCAGAAUUCCAGACAGCCAUUCGGAACUCUUCUUAGAGUGCUUAGUAGUCUAGAACAUUGUUAUCAAAACUCCUUCCAUCACAAUCAAGCCACUAUUGCCAUCUGGGGAUGCCCUAGAUUUCAAAGUUUCCUUUCUAUUUUUCUUAAAGGCAUUCCCUUUAAGAUGGUCACUGAAUCCCUCUUGAUACCUAGUUCCCAUAGGACCAAAGACAAUACAAUGUCUCCUGAUCUGAACCUCUAGCUCUUGAGAAAAUCUGGAACUUCCUCACAUUCGCAAAGAUAGCAUAGAAUGCUUCUGGCAUGAGAAGAGCCUCAUGAAUCCUAAGUAGGAGGAAAACAGGUCUUCUCCAGCUCCAUUACUGCUGGAAGGUGAGGCAGGAGAACUGCCACAGGCCUCCAGUGUCACCAGGAUGGAUCUAAGACGAGGGCAAUAUUUUCUUCAAUGCUACCAGCAGGCUCUGAGGCUUGACUCCAAGACCACCCAGCAAGCAACCAGCCAUGCCAUUACCCACACCCAUGGAAACGUCCUUAGCCCACAGACCUCACAG
rnacentral:sRNA from 1 species